GCGGAUGGCUGGAUGGCCGCGUGUGAUGCGAAGUCCUUCGGGAAACCGUAUCAUGCGAGGAAAGUCCGGACUCCAUGAGGCAAGGGUGCCGGGUAACGCCCGGCUGGGGUAACCCAAGGGAAAGCGCCACAGAGAAGAGAACGCCCUGCAUGUCAGGGCAAUGGUGAAACGGUGGGGUAAGAGCCCACCGCGGACGUGGCAACACGGACGGCAUGGCAAGCCCCACCCGGAGCAAUGCCGAAUAGGGGCCUCACGCGGGAUUGCCUUCGGGCAGACCGCAGGGACGCUUCAGCCCAGAGGCCCGGGUUGGCAGCUAGAUCCCACUGGUAACAGUGGGGCCAGAGGAAUGGUCAUCGAAGGGGGGUAACCCCCGGAACAAAAUCCGGCUUAUAGGCCAUCCGCGCAA
rnacentral:RNase_P_RNA from 1 species